rnacentral:rRNA from 1 species
AUACGUAGGGGGCGAGCGUUGUCCGGAAUGAUUGGGCGUAAAGGGCGCGUAGGCGGCCCGGUAAGUCUGGAGUGAAAGUCCUGUUUUUAAGAUGGGAAUUGCUUUGGAUACUGUCGGGCUUGAGUGCAGGAGAGGUAAGUGGAAUUCCCAGUGUAGCGGUGAAAUGCGUAGAGAUUGGGAGGAACACCAGUGGCGAAGGCGACUUACUGGACUGUAACUGGCGCUGAGGCGCGAAAGCGUGGGGAGCAAACAGGAUUAGAUACCCUGGUAGUCCACGCCGUAAAUGAUGAAUACUAGGUGUAGGGGGUAUCGACUCCCUCUGUGCCGCAGUUAACACAAUAAGUAUUCCGCCUGGGGAGUACGGCCGCAAGGUUGAAACUUAAAUGAAUUGGCGGGG